GCCCUGAUGUAGAUUGCCUUUGUCUUACUUGGGACGUUUACCUGAGCGCUUGGUGCUGGUGUCGGGACCGGGAGAUAGGAGUGUCUCAGGAGAGACCUGGCCGAAAACCGCGAGAAAGAAAAGUGAAGCCUAGUGAAACUGCCUUUGCAGUGACUCAGGAAAAACUCAUCACCUGGAGUCCGUGUAAGCUCGGCGACAGCCCUAGCAGCGAGGCCAAAACAGUUUGGGAAGAAAGAAAACCUAAAGUAUUUGCCGUUGGUGAUUC